rnacentral:lncRNA from 1 species
UUUACCCCAUUUUUCUCAUUUUCUUCUAACAACAGAACAGAUGCUGGCCCAGAUGUGGAAAAUGCAGAAGUUUGCCAGCUUCAGGAUAACUCCAAAUUCGUAACUGUACACGGCAUUCCGCAGAUCUCUCAGUUUGCUUUUUGAGGGGAAAAAAUCUCCCCUCCCCCAAAAGUGGAUGACUGGUCUCUGAAGGUGCCACUGAUCUAAUCCCAGAUGGCUGAAUGAAGUUCCUGGAUGAGGGGUGCUCAGUGGCUGCCUUUACCACGGUAGGCAUUUCAAGGCCAUGCUACAAUUCGCCAUCUUCAGACAUUACCCAGAUGCCUUUCCAGUGGAGCUCACGCACACACACACACAAACAAAAAAACAAAAUACAACGGUCUCCAACAUACUAAACAGCUGUCUACAAGAUCAGAAAGCAUCAGAAAAGACCCUAAAGAGUUGUGUAAUCCCAGAGGAAGAUCUUGUUGAAAUGGAGAAGCGCUUGCAGCAGAAACCUUGGAAAUUUCAGGGAGUGGGAUUUUAUUGUCAGAACUUUCAAUGAACAGGCAGCCACAGAUCCUGGGAGCGUUAAAUAAAAAUUACCAACAAGCUGUCUUACCUGUGUGC